ACCUGGGUGGCUCAGUCGGUUGAGUGUCUGACUUCAGCUCAGGUCAUGAUCUCACGGUUUGUGGGUUCGAGCCCCACAUUGGGCU
rnacentral:tRNA from 1 species